rnacentral:lncRNA from 1 species
UUUGUUCUCAGGGAAAAGUUGAAGUGACAAUAGCGGGAGGACGAAUCGUAUGGGAAAACGAUGAGCUUAAAGUUGUUCCAGGAAGUGGAAAGUAUGUAGAGAUGCCUCCUUUCAGCUACCUUUUCGAUGGGAUUGAGAAAUCUGAUGCUAACUAUCUCUCUUCUCUCCGAGCUCCGGUGAAACGUGUCAGGUCUGAAGCUACUACUUAAGUUGCAAGUAUCACCAUCUGCAAAUUCCUCAUUUGAUUCUAUAUAAGAAUAGUUGUACAUAACAUUACUUUUUUCAACAAGAUCUGAAGAGCGAUUAUGUAUAAAAUCUGUUCUCUACUCCAGUUUUUUGUUUCUUAGUUUGUUUGAGCCUUGGUCUCUGUUCUCUAUCUCAAGAACAGAUACCAAGAUCAAAAGAAAGAUUAUGAAUAAAAGCUGUUCUAUACUCUAGAAUUGAUAAUAUUGUGUUGUAGCAUGUACUCUUCACUCUCCAACACAACGCUCAAAAGCAUCCAAAUCACAAACUUCAUUUCUAAUGGGCCUUUUAAUUGGGCUUAUAACUAUUAGACUAAUUAGUUUCAACACCGUCAAUAACUGGAUCUAAAAGACGGGUUUACCCUUUACUUUAUCCGUCUAUAUAUACAGAACAUCAUCGAAACCGCAAGUACUAGAAAUUUAUUUUCCGACAGAAGAAGAUUUAUCUGUGCGACGGUAAUAACAAAUCUCCGGCGACAAGGAGAAGCAGGAGAUAGAGAGCUAUGACGACAGUCAGUCUCCGCAAGCAAAACACGAGGCUCCCACCAGAAGUAAACCGCGUGCUCUACGUCCGCAACCUCCCCUUCAACAUAACGAGCGAGGAGAUGUACGACAUCUUCGGCAAGUACGGCGCGAUCCGCCAGAUUCGGAUCGGAUGCAACAAGGACACGAAAGGCACGGCCUUCGUCGUCUACGAGGACAUCUACGACGCGAAACAAGCCGUGGACCAUCUCUCCGGGUUCAACGUCGCGAACCGGUACCUGAUCGUGCUCUACUACCAGCACGCGAAGAUGAGCAAGAAGUUCGACCAGAAGAAGAGCGAGGAAGAGGUCGCCAAGCUGCAGGAGAAGUACGGUGUCUCCACCAAAGAUAAGUAAACACGUGUGUACUCGAUUCGAUUCUGCGAUUUAGGGUUUCAAUUGGGGAAAAAAAAAUCGAACCUUUUUUGCUUAAUCUUGGUAUGUAUGUUUGAACCAUUCAAUGAAAAAUUCCUCUUUUCAGCUCCAUGUAGCUAUUAAUGUUACAAAGUGUUGUGCUUUGAUGCAGUUGAUGAUCUGGACUGGUUAGUGUUUUGCUAAGAGGUUUAGUGUUCUGCGAUUUAGGGUUUCAAUUGGGGAAAAAAAUCGAACCUUUUUGCUUAAUCUUGGUAUGUAUGUUGAACCAAUCAAUGAAAAAUACCUUUUUUAGUUCCAAUUAGCUAUUGAUGUUACAAAGUAUUGUGCUUUGAUGCAGUUGAUGAUCUUGUAUUCAGCUUUGUAUCUUUGUUCAGGAGUGGUUAGUGUUUUUGCUAAGAGGUUAAGAACAUGUAUCACUAACACAUACAAUAGAAUUGAAAAAGAAUCUCUUAAGUACAUUAAGAAACCAGAAAAUAUAAAUGUACAAUAAAUCAAACACCUUCCCCCCAAAUCCUCAAUUAAUGAUUUUUUUUUCUCCCUGCUUGAGCCUUCUCAUCUCUUAAACGAUGUCCUCCUGUUUCAAUCAUUAGUAAUCCGAGCAUGCUUUUAAUUUUUGAUUGCCUCAUUGUUAAAAGGAAGAUGAUUUUUCUCUCGACUCAUGUUCUGCUCUCUUUUUGAUAUCUUCUCUCUUCCUCUCUACUUUCAACGUUUGGUGGUGUCAUUUAAACGAAAGGUCACGCCGCUUCUUUGGGAUAGGAUCAGGGUUUCCUUUUCUCAUCAUUGCCACGAACUCGUCGUAGUUUAUCCGACCAUCCUGCAUCAGAGAUUUUGGUUAUGUUAAUAAUGAGGUUGUUAGAUGCUUUGUUUCGGUUUGAAGGGGGAGUGUUGUUUUCUUACAUUGUCUCCAUCGACCUCUGAAAUUAUCUCUUUAAUGUCUCUGCCAUCGUUCAUCCCAAACUCCCGGAGGGCUUGUUCCAGCUCUUCCAUAGUAAUAUAUCUGGGAUCAACAAGCAUCAUUUGAGGUGUUCAUUUGGAUUCAUAGCAAGCUUUGUACUUCUGUCUUUGGUGUUUGAAGUAUGUUAAGAAUCAUUUAUAUACAGUGCUUACCCGCUGUUGUCUUUGUCAAAGUGUUGGAAGGCUGAGUAGAGAUGUUCUUCUCUGUCAAGUCUGUUGAUAUGCAUUGUGGCUGCGAUAAACUCACCAUAGUCUAUUGUUCCAUUACCAUCAGCAUCAGCCUGUUCCAUCAAGAGUAAAAACAGAAAACUAGUGGUGAGUCUGCUUCCUUGUUGCCAGCAUAUGACAGAGGGUAAAAUUGUUGUUAGUAAGCAAAGGGCUUACAGCUUCCAUUAGUUGCUGGACUUCGUACUCUGACAACCUUGUACCUUGCUUAGCGAGUCCCUGUCUUAGCUCCUCGAGUGUAAUCGUUCCACUGUUGUCAGUGUCCAUACCUUUAAACAUCUCCUUCAACCCCAUGAUCUCUUCCUCUGAUAAGCAGCCUGCUAUCACCCUCAAUGCAACUUUCUUGAAAUUGUUCAUUGCUUUGAAUUGCUUGAGCCUGGACAUCACCGCAUUGUCAAGAGGAACAUCUGGUGCUUCUCCAUCUUCCUUGAUCCAUGGAUGAUCUUAACAAAAGAGAGAGAAAACAUUAAUUAUCAUGGAAAGGGAUUGUUAUACUUUAUUGGUGUGUUUUGUAGAUGCUUACUGAGAACUUGAGCAGCAGUUAGUCUUUGCUUGGGAUCAGAGUUGAGCAUCUUCUUAACAAGAUCCUUCGCCUGAGGUGAGAUGGAUGGCCAUGGAUCACUUGAGAAAUCAACAUGGCUCUUUAAGAUGGCGUUGAAUAUCCCAUUCUCCGAUUCUAUAAUCAUCAGGUAAUAAUCACAACACAUUAAUAUGUUUAAACAAAAUCAUCUCUACAUAUAUUUAUAAUCUCGUUUUCUUUUGUAGACAAAGAAGAACUUUACCAGCCCAGAAGGGAGGGACACCACAUAAGAGGAUAUACAACAUGACACCAAUACUCCAAAUAUCAGCUUCAGGUCCAUACUUCCUCUUCAAAACCUCAGGCGCUAUGUAAUAAGCACUACCCACAAUAUCCUUAAACACCUCUCCGGGCUUGUAGAAAACAGACAACCCAAAGUCAGUGGCCUUGAGAGGAGCCUUCUCGUCUUUGCUGAGCAACAAAAAGUUCUCAGGCUUCAAAUCCCUAUGAAUAACCCCCAUGGAAUGACAAGUAUGCACAAUCUGAACAAUGGUUCUCAACAAGGAAGCAGCAGCUCUCUCCGAGUAAUGUCCCUUAGCAAUAAUCCUGUCGAACAGCUCUCCACCAGCGCAAAGCUCCAUGACCAAAUGCACAGAGUGCUUAUCCUCAUAAGCUCCUUUAAGCUCCACAAUGUUAGGCUGACCAGUCAGGUGAUGCAUUAUCUGCACUUCCCUUCUUACGUCCUCAAUGUCUUCUUUGUUCACAAGCUUCCUUUUGGCAAUGGUCUUGCAAGCGAACUGCUGACCUGUCGCCUUCUGCGUGCAGAGAUGCGUGACGCCGAACUGGCCUCGGCCUAGCUCUUUGCCUAGAGAGUAUGAGGAUUUUACAUCUUCCAUGGGACGGCCUAAGACGGGUCCUAUGGGGCCUUGUUUUGUUGCGGGAGGAGGAGAAGGUUUGACAUAUGGCAGCUUGAGGGAGAAGCCACUUCCCGGGCUAUUCGUUUGGCUCGUUUUGUUAACACGCCUCUCUAUGUUGUUCAUGUGAUGAGUGUUGACGCAAUGGAUGAGAUUGCUAAAGCUCGAAAAGCAGGUUCUCUUUUCCUUUUUUCUUUUUCUCUGCUCCUUGUAUGGAACAACCAUUAGUGUAACAUAUAGGUUGAUUUCUAGAGUCCUUGUCAAAAGAUAAAGAGUUACCUUUUUUCUAUAAAUGUAUUUCAGGGCAGAAGGUUAUUGGAGAGCCUGUGGUGUCCGGAUUAAUCCUCGAUGACCACUGGCUUUGGGAUCCUGACUUCACAAUUGCAUCCAAGUAAGAAAAUUCUCUCAGCUCUGCUGUUCAAAGAGGUUCCCAUGUAUUCUUUCAGGUUUUGAAGUUUUUUUUUCUCUCAAUAUUUGAGGUAUGUUAUGAGUCCACCAAUUAGACCAGUAGGCCAUGGAAAAGCCCUUCAAGAUGCCCUAUCAACAGGAAUCCUUCAGGUUUGUUUCCUUGAUAUGCGUUAAGUAGAGAAACAUGAGCUAUAGGAACUGAUCACUGCACUUUCUUGGCAUUAUCUCUGCAGCUUGUAGGAACUGAUCACUGCACAUUCAAUUCUACACAAAAAGCUCUGGGACUUGAUGAUUUCCGCAAAAUACCUAAUGGUGUUAAUGGUAUAAUCUUGUUCUCUGCGCUCAUUUGUCUCUGCUUCUGUGCUAAUCUAUUCGGAUUUAUAAAAAUACUUUGGACUUGUCCAUGUUUAGGCCUUGAAGAACGGAUGCACCUGACAUGGGACACGAUGGUGGUAAGUACUCACUCAUCAGCUAAAAUCUUCUUUCUUUACAUGUGUUUUUAAUCGGUUUAUUAUAUCAUAAUCCAGGGGUCUGGCCAAAUCUCUGCUACUGAUUUUGUUAGAAUAACCAGCACAGAGUGGUACGUUUGCCAUUAAUCACUGGUUUUCUUGAUAUCGAUGAUAUGCUUUUUGAUUUCAUUUUAUUGACUAAUGAGUUUGAUUAUCAGCGCUAAAAUUUUCAACAUAUAUCCACGGAAAGGAGCUAUCCUUCCUGGCUCGGAUGCAGACAUCAUUAUACUGAAUCCAAACUCAAGCUACGAGAUUACCUCAAAGUCUCAUCAUUCAAGAUCCGACACUAAUGUCUAUGAAGGCAGAAGAGGACAGGUAAUAUAUGGAUUUUGCAAAGCCUCCUCUUGACUGAUAUGUACAAAACAAAAGUUUCUGAUGAUGACAACAUUUUUGUUCUCAGGGAAAAGUUGAAGUGACAAUAGCGGGAGGACGAAUCGUAUGGGAAAACGAUGAGCUUAAAGUUGUUCCAGGAAGUGGAAAGUAUGUAGAGAUGCCUCCUUUCAGCUACCUUUUCGAUGGGAUUGAGAAAUCUGAUGCUAACUAUCUCUCUUCUCUCCGAGCUCCGGUGAAACGUGUCAGGUCUGAAGCUACUACUUAAGUUGCAAGUAUCACCAUCUGCAAAUUCCUCAUUUGAUUCUAUAU